GCCCCGAUGCUGGAAUUGGCAGACAGGCACGCUUUAGGAGCGUGUGCCGCAAGGCGUAGAGGUUCAAAUCCUCUUCGGGGCACUA
rnacentral:tRNA from 1 species